rnacentral:rRNA from 1 species
GCAUAUCAAUAAGCGGAGGAAAAGAAACCAACAGGGAUUGCCCUAGUAACGGCGAGUGAAGCGGCAACAGCUCAAAUUUGAAAUCUGGCUCUCGGGCCCGAGUUGUAAUUUGUAGAGGAUACUUUUGAUGCGGUGCCUUCCGAGUUCCCUGGAACGGGACGCCAUAGAGGGUGAGAGCCCCGUCUGGUUGGAUGCCAAAUCUCUGUAAAGUUCCUUCAACGAGUCGAGUAGUUUGGGAAUGCUGCUCUAAAUGGGAGGUAUAUGUCUUCUAAAGCUAAAUACCGGCCAGAGACCGAUAGCGCACAAGUAGAGUGAUCGAAAGAUGAAAAGCACUUUGAAAAGAGAGUUAAAAAGUACGUGAAAUUGUUGAAAGGGAAGCGUUUAUGACCAGACUUGGGCUUGGUUAAUCAUCUGGGGUUCUCCCCAGUGCACUUUUCCAGUCCAGGCCAGCAUCAGUUUUCCCCGGGGGAUAAAGGCGGCGGGAAUGUGGCUCUCUUCGGGGAGUGUUAUAGCCCACCGUGUAAUACCCUGGGGGGGACUGAGGUUCGCGCAUCUGCAAGGAUGCUGGCGUAAUGGUCAUCAACGACCCGUCUUGAAACACGGACCAAGGAGUCGUCUUCGUAUGCGAGUGUUCGGGUGUCAAACCCCUACGCGUAAUGAAAGUGAACGCAGGUGAGAGCUUCGGCGCAUCAUCGACCGAUCCUGAUGUUCUCGGAUGGAUUUGAGUAAGAGCAUACGGGGCCGGACCCGAAAGAAGGUGAACUAUGCCUGUAUAGGGUGAAGCCAGAGGAAACUCUGGUGGAGGCUCGCAGCGGUUCUGACGUGCAAAUCGAUCGUCAAAUAUGGGCAUGGGGGCGAAAGACUAAUCGAACCUUCUAGUAGCUGGUUUCCGCCGAAG